UUGCCCUCCACUCACCGCCAGAUCGUUGUUUUUACAACCUGAAACAUCCCACUCACCCCAACUCUCCAUCUGCCUGCCUACGCGCUCUGCUUGCUACCUGCCUCGGUGUUUAAAAUGACCAAACCCAAAAGCAGGCCUUGCCCUCACUGCCAGGUCAUGAAUACUGUCAACCGCAAAACAUGCCUUUCAUGUUUUGCAAGCCUCUCACAAAAAAAGAGGAUUAAGUCCAAGGAGGAGAGUUUGCAUGUUGGUGACUGGGGGGAGAAUGUGAAGAAGCACCGCAACGCAGGCAGAGUGAUAGAUUCAGCC